CUGACUGCUAUCGGAUUGAUACUAAGCCAUGCGAGUCUUUGUAGUAAUACAAGGCAUACGGCUCAGUAACACGUAGUCAACCUACCCUAUGGACGAGAAUAAUCUCGGGAAACUGAGCAUAAUUCUUGAUAGAUCAUAAUGCCUGGAAUGGUUUAUGGUUAAAAUGAUUCGUCGCCAUAGGAUGGGACUGCGGCCUAUCAGCUUGUUGGUGAGGUAAUGGCCCACCAAGGCGAUUACAGGUACGGGCUCUGAGAGGAGAAGCCCGGAGAUGGGUACUGAGACACGGACCCAGGCCCUAUGGGGCGCAGCAGGCGAGAAAACUUUGCAAUGUGCGAAAGCACGACAAGGUUAAUCCGAGUGGUUUCUGCUAAAGGAACCUUUUGUUAGUCCUAAAAACACUAACGAAUAAGGGGUGGGCAAGUUCUGGUGUCAGCCGCCGCGGUAAAACCAGCACCUCAAGUGGUCAGGAUGAUUAUUGGGCCUAAAGCAUCCGUAGCCUGCUCUGUAAGUUUUCGGUUAAAUCUGUAUGCUCAACAUACAGGCCGCCGGGAAUACUGCAGAGCUAGGGAGUGGGAGAGGUAGACGGUACUCGGGAGGAAGUGGUAAAAUGCUUUGAUCUCUCGAUGACCACCUGUGGCGAAGGCGGUCUACCAGAACACGUCCGACGGUGAGGGAUGAAAGCUGGGGGAGCAAACCGGAUUAGAUACCCGGGUAGUCCCAGCUGUAAACGAUGCAAGAUAGGUGAUGGAUUAGCCAUGUGUUAAUCCAGUGCCGCAGGGAAGCCGUUAAGCUUGCCGCCUGGGGAGUACGGUCGCAAGGCUGAAACUUAAAGGAAUUGGCGGGGGAGCACCACAAGGGGUGAA
rnacentral:rRNA from 1 species